GUCUACGGCCAUACCACGUUGAAAACACCGGUUCUCGUCUGAUCACCGAAGUUAAGCAACGUCGGGCCCGGUUAGUACUUGGAUGGGUGACCGCCUGGGAAUACCGGGUGCUGUAUACU
rnacentral:rRNA from 1 species